rnacentral:rRNA from 1 species
UACGGAGGGUGCGAGCGUUGUCCGGAAUCACUGGGCGUAAAGGGCGCGUAGGUGGCGCGAGGAGUCUGUGGUGAAAGCCCGAGGCUCAACUUCGGGUCGGCCGCGGAUACUCUCGUGCUGGAGGGUGGUAGAGGCCAAUGGGAAUUCCGGGUGUAGCGGUGGAAUGCGUAGAGAUCCGGAAGAACACCGGUGGCGAAGGCGGUUGGCUGGGCCACACCUGACACUGAGGCGCGACAGCGUGGGGAGCAAACAGG